CCUACGGGAGGCAGCAGUGGGGAAUAUUGCACAAUGGGCGAAAGCCUGAUGCAGCGACGCCGCGUGAGGGAUGACGGCCUUCGGGUUGUAAACCUCUUUCAGCAGGGAAGAAGCGCAAGUGACGGUACCUGCAGAAGAAGCACCGGCUAACUACGUGCCAGCAGCCGCGGUAAUACGUAGGGUGCGAGCGUUGUCCGGAAUUAUUGGGCGUAAAGAGCUCGUAGGCGGCUUGUCACGUCGGAUGUGAAAGCUCGGGGCUUAACCCCGAGUCUGCAUUCGAUACGGGCUAGCUAGAGUGUGGUAGGGGAGAUCGGAAUUCCUGGUGUAGCGGUGAAAUGCGCAGAUAUCAGGAGGAACACCGGUGGCGAAGGCGGAUCUCUGGGCCAUUACUGACGCUGAGGAGCGAAAGCGUGGGGAGCGAACAGGAUUAGAUACCCUGGUAGUCCACGCCGUAAACGUUGGGAACUAGGUGUUGGCGACAUUCCACGUCGUCGGUGCCGCAGCUAACGCAUUAAGUUCCCCGCCUGGGGAGUACGGCCGCAAGGCUAAAACUUAAUGAAUUGACGG
rnacentral:rRNA from 1 species